ACUCAAUGGGCAUGAGUUUGAGCAAGCUCUGGGAGAUGGUGAAGGACCCGGAAGCCUGGUGUGCUGCAGUCCAUGGAGUUGCAAGGAAUUGGACACAACUUAGCAACUGAACACCACCAACAUCCGUGAGUCUUUGAAGACGAACUUCUUAAAAGCUGAGUGUGUGCUACUUUUCUUCCGACGCUGUCUGCCCCGCCUGCGCACCCCUCUUAUUUCCUUAACUUCUCCCUGCUUCCUCCCUCCCCAAACCCACAAUCUAAGUUCUAAACCUCCAUUUCUUGUCUGAGCUUCCACUUCUUGAGGACUUUGUUGCUGUCCCAGUUUAGCAUCUUCUACUGCUGCACAGCGUCUCGUGUCACAGUGGAUCCCUGCUGAGACAGACACCUUCAGAGUGUGGGCAGGUGGACAGGGUUCUGAACAGAAGCACCUUAGUUCAACAGUCAGGCAGACGGGCAGGACUCUCCAAGGCAAACCAUUCUGCAUGAUUAUGGAAACCGAAGCAAUGAAAGGCGAGUCAAAGAAGCAGUUCUACUAUGGAGUCAGAAUUGGCUUCCUCCCUGCAACACUCACUCUGUCCAUCAAGGGCCACAGCGCCUUCCAUUCCAUUCCCUGCUAGUGUUGCCUUUCUGCUUCCCCGGUGGGGCCAUGGUAAAAACUCCAUCCGAAGAAGUCAGACUAUUUUCUUCUCUCUUCCUUCCCUUGCCAGAGUAACUACUUUAAAACGUGAUACUCUGCAUUUCCCUCCUCCGUGAAACAGGAAAUGAAUACCUGAAAAUUUGGCAAGAAGAGAGAGUGCAGAGAGAAGGAAAUGUGCAGGUCCUUUGAACCCCUAUAAAAGGAGAAUUUAGGCCUACAUAUUAUAUGGCACGCGGGCACCUAUGCAGAUGAAGCCUCAGAACCUUCCUGGACGACGUCACUCAAGACCAAGGGAAGCUCUUGUUUUUUUCAGACAUUACACUGCCCCAGGAAGCAAACAGUCCUAAAGAACUUUGAUUCCGACGAAGUCAACUAACCCUGAAGGGUUGACUUACUCAAGUUUCCAUAGAAAGGAAUCUAUUUACCUAUUAAUUCCUCAGCAAAUAUUUAUCAGCACUCCCUGUGCGACAGGCAUUAUUCCAGAGACUUGAGACCAGGCACUGUAGCUAAAUGGAAACAUCAACAUAGCCUCCAACCUGCUACAAGAAAUUGUGUCAUUUAAACAGGAAUACUAGUGGGCAAAACAAAUUAGUGAAAAUAAUCUGCACUUCCUGACCUACAUAAAUCUCUCCAUCAGCCGAAAGAAUGCAUCUGUUAGAAAAGUGGGCACUGCUAUGUGCUCGUUCGGCCACACCCAGAAACAGAACCAUCGCAUCACUUUUGCUAUGUCAGUCCAAUCCAGUCUAUGCCCAACUUUCCAGGGCUCUAGAGUUGGGCAAGACGGCAAAGUCGGAGAAGGCAAUGGCACCCCACUCCUGUACUCUCGCCUGGAAAAUCCCAUGGACGGAGGAGCCUGGUAGGCUGCAGUCCACGGGGUUGCUAAGAGCCGGAUACGAC